UAGGGAAUUUUCCACAAUGGGCGAAAGCCUGAUGGAGCAACGCCGCGUGCAGGAUGAAGGCCUUCGGGUCGUAAACUGCUUUUAUGAGUGAUGAUUAUGACAGUAGCUCAAGAAUAAGGGUCGGCUAACUACGUGCCAGCAGCCGCGGUCAUACGUAGGACCCAAGCGUUAUCCGGAAUUACUGGGCGUAAAGAGUUGCGUAGGCGGCUUGUUAAGUCGGUAGUGAAAGCGUGUGGCUCAACCACAUAUACAUUAUCGAAACUGGCAAGCUAGAGUGUGAGAGAGGUUACUGGAAUUCCAAGUGUAGGAGUGAAAUCCGUAGAUAUUUGGAGGAACACCGAUGGCGUAGGCAGGUAACUGGCUCACUACUGACGCUAAGGCACGAAAGCGUGGGGAGCAA
rnacentral:rRNA from 1 species